UACAGAGGUCCCAAGCGUUGUUCGGAUUCAUUGGGCGUAAAGGGUGCGUAGGUGGCGCCGUAAGUCGGGUGUGAAAUUUCGGAGCUUAACUCCGAAACUGCAUUCGAUACUGCGGUGCUUGAGGACUGGAGAGGAGACUGGAAUUCAUGGUGUAGCAGUGAAAUGCGUAGAGAUCAUGAGGAAGACCAGUGGCGAAGGCGGGUCUCUGGACAGUUCCUGACACUGAGCACGAAGGCCAGGGGAGCAAACGGG
rnacentral:rRNA from 1 species